rnacentral:tRNA from 1 species
GCGUGGGUGGCUCAGUCAGUUGAGUGUCUGACUUUGGCUCAGGUCAUCUCAGAGUUUGUGAGUUCGAGCCCCACAUCAGGCU